rnacentral:rRNA from 1 species
UUCGUAGGUGGCCAACUAAGUCAGACGUGAAAUCCCUCAGCUUAACUGGGGAACUGCGUCUGAGACUGGAUGGCUUGAGUGCAGGAGAGGAACGCGGAAUUCCAGGUGUAGCGGUGAAAUGCGUAGAUAUCUGGAGGAACACCGGUGGCGAAGGCGGCGUUCUGGACUGCAACUGACACUGGGGAAGAAAGCCAGGGGGAGACAAACG